UACAGAGGGCCCAAGCGUUGUUCGGAUUCACUGGGCGUAAAGUGUGCGUAGGCGGUCGGGUAAGUCUGACGUGAAAUCUUCAAGCUCAACUUGGAAACUGCGUCGGAUACUAUUCGGCUAGAGGAAUGGAGGGGAGACUGGAAUACUUGGUGUAGCAGUGAAAUGCGUAGAUAUCAAGUGGAACACCAGUGGCGAAGGCGAGUCUCUGGACAUUUCCUGACGCUGAGGCACGAAAGCCAGGGGAGCAAACGGG
rnacentral:rRNA from 1 species